ACGGGUGAGUAACGCGUAGGAAUCUGCCUUAAAGAGGGGGACAACCCGAGGAAACUCGGGCUAAUACCGCAUAAUGUCGAAAGACCAAAGGCUGGGGUUAAACCUGGCGCUUUAAGAGGAGCCUGCGUCUGAUUAGCUAGUUGGUGGGGUAAAAGCCUACCAAGGCGAUGAUCGGUAGCUGGUCUGAGAGGAUGAUCAGCCACACUGGGACUGAGACACGGCCCAGACUCCUACGGGAGGCAGCAGUGGGGAAUAUUGGACAAUGGGGGCAACCCUGAUCCAGCAAUGCCGCGUGUGUGAAGAAGGCCUUCGGGUUGUAAAGCACUUUAGGCUGGGAAGAAGAUAAGUAGUUUAAGAGAUGACUUAUUUGACUGUACCGGCAGAAUAAGCACCGGCUAACUCUGUGCCAGCAGCCGCGGUAAUACAGAGGGUGCGAGCGUUAAUCGGAAUUACUGGGCGUAAAGGGCGCGUAGGUGGUUAUAUAAGAUUGUUGUGAAAUCCCUGGGCUUAACCUAGGAACUGCAACGAUGACUGUAUAGCUUGAGUAUUGUAGAGGGUAGUGGAAUUUCCGGUGUA
rnacentral:rRNA from 1 species